ACGCUGCAAGGAGCGCCUCCCCCCCCAGUCCCGGGAAGCAGUAAGGUUGAUAACACGCAUGCGCCAUUUCCCCCUUUACCUAUAGAGGACCCUUUGAAUAUCUGUGCUGCUGUUUGAUCACGCAAGGAUGCCCUGAGGCAUGGUACACUGGCAAGACUGAGCAGAGGCUACAGCAACGGCUGAAUAGACACCGCACAACAAUCAACAGAUAAGAGUGUUCCCUCCCAGUCAGAGAACUCUUCAGUGGUCUAGGACAUUUGACCUCGGACCUCCGGGUGGCCAUCCUCCAAGAUGGACUUCAGGGCAGGAACAGGAGGAGGCCAUUCAGCCCAUUGAGCCUGGUCCAAUACUAUCAAGAUUGAUCAAACACUUCAAGGACUCAUUCUGUCCAAUUUUCUGA